GCGCAAGGUUAAAACUCAAAUGAAUUGACGGGGGCCCGCACAAGCGGUGGAGCAUGUGGUUUAAUUCGAUGCAACGCGAAGAACCUUACUACUCUUGACAUCCAGAGAACUUAGCAGAGAUGCUUUGGUGCUUUCGGGAACUCUGAGACAGGUGCUGCAUGGCUGUCGUCAGCUCGUGUUGUGAAAUGUUGGGUUAAGUCCCGCAACGAGCGCAACCCUUAUCCUUUGUUGCCAGCGGUUCGGCCGGGAACUCAAAGGAGACUGCCAGUGAUAAACUGGAGGAAGGUGGGGAUGACGUCAAGUCAUCAUGGCCCUUACGAGUAGGGCUACACACGUGCUACAAUGGCGUAUACAAAGAGAAGCGACCUCGCGAGAGCAAGCGGACCUCAUAAAGUACGUCGUAGUCCGGAUUGGAGUCUGCAACUCGACUCCAUGAAGUCGGAAUCGCUAGUAAUCGUAGAUCAGAAUGCUACGGUGAAUACGUUCCCGGGCCUUGUACACACCGCCCGUCACACCAUGGGAGUGGGUUGCAAAAGAAGUAGGUAGCUUAACCUUCGGGAGGGCGCUUACCACUUUGUGAUUCAUGACUGGGGUGAAGUCGUAACAAGGUAACCA
rnacentral:rRNA from 1 species